rnacentral:rRNA from 1 species
GGAUCAGGUAGGAAUACCCGCUGAACUUAAGCAUAUCAAAAGCGGAGGA